UGGAAGGAACGCCCUUUCCUUUCUGCCUCACUCCCCUGGAGAGUACAGGGGAAAGGCCCAGAAAGACUGAAGAAGAAGAAGAAACCGCAUGACAAGGAGUGGCUACUCUGCAUCUUCCCCUCGGAGGUGGCUCUUCCCAGGGCAAAUCCAGUCGGCGCACCUCAGCCAUCCCUCCAUAGCAAGGGGUUUGAGGAUCUUUCGAGAAGGAGAUUUUCAGAACGGCAAGGAAAAACCAAGCGCAGAGGAACUAAAAGCCACAGGCAAAUAAAAAGACCCCACAAGAAGAGAGACCAUAGGAAAAAAAGAGGCCGCCGACUCCCCACCUUCACCCUGGAUGGACCCAACAUCCACUGCUCGGAGACCCCGCAGAGGCCAGUUCCUUCCACGAGGCCAAUAAUUCUGUCUGCUGGUGGAUUCCUCAGGGUCAAGAGGGUGCUCCUCUGGUAACAGGGAGGACUUCAGUGAGUUUUCUUUGCAAAUGGGCCGACACCCCCAUCCCCACCCCCAGGAGGGACUAAAAGGGGUUAAGUCUGGAACAAACGACUGGCAGAUCCAGAGUGCGAUUGUACAAUUCACUACAUAGUACACCGGAAACUCCUAGAACACUGUACGUUAACUAUACUGGAAUCAAAAAUAAAAGCUUAAUUUUUUAAAAAAAGGGAGUUGGAAAAUAUAAACCAUUUUAUCCCAGAUUAAAAAAAACAUCAAAUCCAAUUUUAUAAUUUGGAAACCUCCUAUCUUAUGCCAGUUUUGUCCAUAAAGCGGUAUUUGCAAACGUCUUCUGGAGCCAGGCUGAUUCUCCUGAAGCCAUUCCUCACGCAGCCUGACGCAAAUGUUUGUUGAUAACUGGGAAAACAUAACUACUGAACGUGUAAAGUCUAAAGUCAUGCUAGAUUCCUUGAUGAUGGCUCAUCUCCACGGCCAUCAUUUGGGAAAGCAAUGCGGUAUAGAAAACACAUGGGCUCGAGAGUCCCAAAACUCAGGCUUAAACUUGGGUUCUACCAGUUAGGAUGUGUGAUUUGGCCCAAACUUUUCAAGGCUCCAUUUUCUCAUCAGGGGAAGUGACAGCGUCCCUGGAGUUCCAUGAGAUGAUACGUGUGUAAAAGGUUUAGCGCGGUGUAGAAGGGAACAGUUGCUUGGUAAAUCAUCAUCACCAUCAUCAUGACCACUACUCCAACAUAAGAGGAGUAUUCUUGAUCGAGACACAUGUUUUCUGUUAAUAAUAGCUGCCUGUUUUCGGGAGUCUGAGUUAAGGGUUUACGAAGCCAGCGUUCACUUCUCUCUUGGCAGACGUGACCCCAGCCAACGCUGCGAGUCGGGUUUUGCAGAAUGUGAGUGUGUCCUUGCGAGAAGGAAGGUGAAGGGAGGGAGAGGGGUUGGGCUGGUUCCAGAAGGAAGACGUUAAGCGCUGAGGUUUGUUCGGAGCCCCAGAGGCAGGGUGGCGGAGGCACCCCCCCCCCCCCCCCCCGCCCCGCCCCGUGUCGCUGAAUCUGUAUGUCUGCUUGUCUGGGAUACGGGCACCUUCCCCAGGAGCGCUAUUCUAUCCUGAACAACGGGGAGGGGGGAACAGAACUACCUCCCAGGAUAACCCCGGCUGCCCACUUCUGGAGGAUGUGGAGAGCACCGAUGCUCUCAUUCAUCCUCCCCACAUCCCUAUAAGAGGAGAGACGAAAACAUCUGUUUUCAGAAGAGGAAGGAGAGGGGGGCCAGGGGUGAGAGAGGAAGGGCAAGAGGGGGAGGACAGAAAGGAGAUUAAGAUUUGUCUCCGGGGUUUCUAUUGCUUUUGUGGGUACACUUUCUCCCUAUUUCAUUCCUCCUUUCUGCUACUAAUUUCUCUCUCUCUCUCUGUUCCCUCAGGUCCCACAUUUUGCCUUCCAAGAGGCCUUCAUGCUCUAGGCCAGGGGCCUACAAACUUUUUUUUUUUUUUUUUUUUGGUAAAAGACCAGAGAGUAAGUAUUUUACUCUUCGAAAGCCUUAAAGUCUGUACUGCAAUGACUCAACCUUGCCAUGGUGGCGCAAAAACCACACUACAACAGGUGCAGUUGUGUUCCAAUAAAACAGUAUUCCAAAAAACAGGCACCAGGCCAGAUUAGGCCUGCAUGCCACAGUUUGCUGGCCCCUCGUCCAGACCUCUCUGGACCUCCUCCUAUUUUCCAUCAAAACUGACAUAUCCUACGUCCCAGUCUUUCGGGUUCUGACUCUGGGGACAGGAAGCACCCAGGUGACACGGAGGAGUCCAUGAUUAGCAGAGCUUGACGUGUUUGUUCUCUCCCACCGUCAAAAACGUAGAUGCACUGAACACAAAAUGCCUCCAACCAAACAGUCACCGCUGUGGAAUUUCAGGUGUCCUGGCAGAUCCGAGCGAGGGAGAUUAUGAAGACCGAGCACGGAGAGGCCUUUUGGCACCUCUCAAAGUGCCGACAGGUGCCACGACCCAGCUGCCAAGGGGAACUCAGGCCAUCGCUAACCACCUCCCCGCUUUUAUCUGCUGUGUAGUAAAUAUUGCGGGCAUAACGGUGCCCUCUAACUGUCUUGGGGAAUUUCCAGGCUGUUCCUGGGAUGUUCACGGAGGCUCCCUGCCUCCUCCUGCAGCAAAGCCAGGCCUGUCUGACUCUGACCCCAACUUCUCCAUAAAAAUACACAAUGCCUGGGGCACCUGGGUGGCUCAGUCGGUUAAGCGUCCGACUUCGGCUCAGGUCAUGAUCUCAUGGUCUGUGAGUUGGAGCCCUGCGUUGGGCUCUGGGCUGACAACUCAGAGCCUGGAGCCUGCUUCGGAUUCUGUGUCUCCCUCUCUCUCUGCCCCUCCCCCGCUCACGCUCUGUCUCUAUCAAAAAUAAAAUGUAAAAAAAAAAUUUUUUUAAAAACACACAACGCCUGAAAUACACCCUUAAUCGAUUUGUCCGAGAGAAAGAAAAAGUUCUAAGAGAGCUAGGAAAUUCCUCCCGGGACCCGCAGGAGCACUGGGGAGUAGAAGACGGAGAGGAACCUUCAAACAGCAGAGCCGUGGGAGGAGAGGCAGGAGGGCCCCUCUCUGUUGCCAGAGGCUCCCACACCCAGAUGCAGGCCAGAGCGAUCCCUCAUAAUUUAAGCUGACACCCCUCAGUGGAGAUGAAAGGAACACUACUCGCUGUCUCCGACAACAAAUGUCAGCAUCCCUGGAGGCCAUUUAGACACAAACACAGCAUAAAUCUGACUCCUAGUGGGGAAGGCCAGAGAUUAAGUCUCCUCGCACAGCCUAACAGAGUGAAAUGAAUUUGCUUGGCAUAAAGUUUGAACAUGUUUCUCAGGGUCUUUCUUUCCCUUUUCUCAUAAAAAAAAAAAAAAAAUCUGGAAUGGUU
rnacentral:lncRNA from 1 species